rnacentral:rRNA from 1 species
UACGUAGGGUGCGAGCGUUGUUCGGAAUUACUGGGCGUAAAGGGCUCGUAGGUGGCCAACUAAGUCAGACGUGAAAUCCCUCGGCUUAACCGGGGAACUGCGUCUGAUACUGGAUGGCUUGAGUUUGGGAGAGGGACGCGGAAUUCCAGGUGUAGCGGUGAAAUGCGUAGAUAUCUGGAGGAACACCGGUGGCGAAGGCGGCGUCCUGGACCAACACUGACACUGAGGAGCGAAAGCCAGGGGAGCAAACGGG